CCGCGCUCUCAGGGGGCUGGACUACCGUUCCCAUGCGCCCUCACGGGACAGGACUACAGUUCCCAUGAGCCCCGGCGGGGCCCUCUCUCCGCGCGGUUUCUGGGACAGCAUGGCUGCGGAGCUGCGUGUGAGCAUGACAUCCUGUCAAGAAGGGGUGAAGACGCUGGCCUGGCUGGGGAGCUGAUUUACCCACAGUGCACCUGCACAAUGGAGGAAAUGGUCCUGCAGAAUCCUGGUGCUGCUGUUGCCCAAAACCAUCUGUGAUCAGAGGACAGCUGCUAUGUUGAGCUUCAGGCUGAAGGUCAAUAACAGCUUCUGACAGGCUGCCCAGCGGAGCUGGUGACAGGGAGUGUCGUCAGGAGUCAAGGUGUAGGAGGAAGAUUGUUCUGGACUGAGUGUCACAAAUGACUGGUGAUGUGUGUGUCAGGCUCCUCCUCACUGCUCAGUGGAUGCUGCAGCCACACCAUGGGACCUGAUCCACGGUUGGCUGGAAGAAAAAGUGGUUCCUUGCUUUCUUCUGUUCCAGAAUAAAAUAAGUUGUGGA